AAAACAAGUGCUAUUACAAUAGCCGACAUAUUUUGCUUUCCGAGUAGUGCCUCUUUUGAGGCACUUUUUUUAUAUU
rnacentral:ncRNA from 1 species